UACGGAGGAUGCAAGCGUUAUCCGGAUUUAUUGGGUUUAAAGGGUGCGUAGGCGGAAUAGUAAGUCAGUGGUGAAAGCCUGCGGCUUAACCGUAGAAUUGCCAUUGAUACUGUUAUUCUUGAGUGUAGUUGAGGUGGGCGGAAUGUGUAAUGUAGCGGUGAAAUGCUUAGAUAUUACACAGAACACCGAUUGCGAAGGCAGCUCACUAAGCUAUAACUGACGCUGAGGCACGAAAUCGUGGGGAGCAAACAGGAUUAGAUA
rnacentral:rRNA from 1 species